rnacentral:rRNA from 1 species
UACGUAGGGGGCAAGCGUUGUCCGGAUUUACUGGGCGUAAAGAGCGCGUAGGCGGAAGCUUAAGUGUGGCCUGGAAAGCCCCCGGCUCAACCGGGGAAGGUGACUGCAAACUGGGCUUCUUGAGGGGGAUAGGGGAAAGUGGAAUUCCGGGUGUAGCGGUGGAAAUGCGUAGAGAUCCGGAGGAACACCAGUGGCGAAGGCGGCUUUCUGGGUCCGCCCUGACGCUGAGGCGCGAAAGCGUGGGGAGCGAACGGGAUUGAGAAACCCCGGUAGGUC